rnacentral:ncRNA from 2 species
UUGACCAGCACGUAUCAGGGCGCCCCAAAAGGGCUUGAAAAGGGAAUCCCGUGGUCUGUGCGGCAGUCGCUGAUAACCGCGACUGCCGUCGGAGAAUCGGGAACGGACCCGCCACUGUAAACGGUUACGAAAUCCGCGUAUUGAGCCACUGGCUGGUCGCCGGGAAGGUUGCGGAGAUUAGGAUGACCCGUAAGUCAGGAGACCUGCCUUGAUAAUGCCUCACGG